rnacentral:rRNA from 1 species
AGCGAACGCUGGCGGCAGGCUUAACACAUGCAAGUCGAGCGGGCACUUUCGGGUGUCAGCGGCGGACGGGUGUGUAACGCGUGGGAACGUGCCCUCUGGUUCGGAAUAACUCAGGGAAACUUGAGCUAAUACCGGAUACGCCCUUUUGGGGAAAGGCUUGCUGCCGGAGGAUCGGCCCGCGUCUGAUUAGCUAGUUGGUGAGGUAACGGCUCACCAAGGCGACGAUCAGUAGCUGGUCUGAGAGGAUGAUCAGCCACACUGGGACUGAGACACGGCCCAGACUCCUACGGGAGGCAGCAGUGGGGAAUAUUGGACAAUGGGCGCAAGCCUGAUCCAGCCAUGCCGCGUGAGUGAUGAAGGCCUUAGGGUUGUAAAGCUCUUUUAUCCGGGACGAUAAUGACGGUACCGGAGGAAUAAGCCCCGGCUAACUUCGUG